UAAACCGGAGGAAGGUGGGGAGUGACGUCAAAUCAUCAUGCCCCUUAUGACCUGGGCUACACACGUGCUACAAUGGUUGGUACAACGAGUUGCGAGUCGGUGACGGCGAGCUAAUCUCUUUAAAGCCAAUCUCAGUUCGGAUUGUAGGCUGCAACUCGCCUACAUGAAGUCGGAAUCGCUAGUAAUCGCGGAUCAGCACGCCGCGGUGAAUACGUUCCCGGGCCUU
rnacentral:rRNA from 1 species